AUUAUGGUGUUCUAUCGCCUAGAGAAAAUUGCUUUAUGACUGACUUACGUCAUCCAUAAUGGAAGCGCAAAGUUUCAAAAAGUAAGCCGAUAAACGGCAGGACAAGAAUUUGGACAGAUCUCAAAACCACACACCUGGGCCUGCUCCAUACAUCGGCCAGAAGGAUCACUUUGACUUCGGCCUUAACUGAAUACAAUGCUUGGAAUUCAAACUAAAAGCUGAGAUUUCAAAACGCUAUGCUUAACAGCACAAUUCAAAUGAAGCUACGAAGGAUGAACUUGAUCAAGUCAUUGGAUAAGGCUGACCAAAAAAUUGGACAAUUGGAAGAUUUCCCACAUUUCCUGAGUCAUGUGACUUCACUAGACAUACAUAAGCCUUUAAGAGUGGUGUGCAAUUAUUCAGCAACAAUCAAGGGAAAGCAGAAGAAUGUCAGUGACUUGACAAGCAGCAUAAUGGUGGGUGCCCUUGCAAUCAACUCUUCCCUCAACGUAGUGGCUGCAUUGACCAACGUGUUUCUAGGUACAAUAUUCCUGAAGACAACA